rnacentral:SRP_RNA from 1 species
GCCGGGCGUGGUGGUGCGCACCUGUAGUCCCAGCUACUCUGGAGGCUGAGGCAGGAGAAUUGCUUGAACCUGGGAGGCGGAGCUUGCAGUAAGCCGAGAUUGUGCCAUUGCACUCCAGCCUAGGUGACAGAGUGUCUCAAAAGAAAAAAAAAUAGAGAAAAAGAUGGAAAAAUGGAUAAGAAAGUUUUGUUUUCCUUUUUUUUUUUUUUUUUUUUUUGAGAUGGAAUUUCGCUCUUGUUGCCCAGGCUGGAAUGCAGUGGCAUGAUCUCGGCUCACUGCAACCUCCGCCUCCCGGGGUCAAGUGAUUUUCCUGCCUCAG